rnacentral:rRNA from 1 species
GAUGAACGCUGGCGGCGUGCCUAAUACAUGCAAGUCGAGCGAACGGACGAGAAGCUUGCUUCUCUGAUGUUAGCGGCGGACGGGUGAGUAACACGUGGAUAACCUACCUAUAAGACUGGGAUAACUUCGGGAAACCGUAGCUAAUACCGGAUAAUAUUUUGAACCGCAUGGUUCAAAAGUGAAAGACGGUCUUGCUGUCACUUAUAGAUGGAUCCGCGCUGCAUUAGCUAGUUGGUAAGGUAACGGCUUACCAAGGCAACGAUGCAUAGCCGACCUGAGAGGGUGAUCGGCCACACUGGAACUGAGACACGGUCCAGACUCCUACGGGAGGCAGCAGUAGGGAAUCUUCCGCAAUGGGCGAAAGCCUGACGGAGCAACGCCGCGUGAGUGAUGAAGGUCUUCGGAUCGUAAAACUCUGUUAUUAGGGAAGAACAUAUGUGUAAGUAACUGUGCACAUCUUGACGGUACCUAAUCAGAAAGCCACGGCUAACUACGUGCCAGCAGCCGCGGUAAUACGUAGGUGGCAAGCGUUAUCCGGAAUUAUUGGGCGUAAAGCGCGCGUAGGCGGUUUUUUAAGUCUGAUGUGAAAGCCCACGGCUCAACCGUGGAGGGUCAUUGGAAACUGGAAAACUUGAGUGCAGAAGAGGAAAGUGGAAUUCCAUGUGUAGCGGUGAAAUGCGCAGAGAUAUGGAGGAACACCAGUGGCGAAGGCGACUUUCUGGUCUGUAACUGACGCUGAUGUGCGAAAGCGUGGGGAUCAAACAGGAUUAGAUACCCUGGUAGUCCACGCCGUAAACGAUGAGUGCUAAGUGUUAGGGGGUUUCCGCCCCUUAGUGCUGCAGCUAACGCAUUAAGCACUCCGCCUGGGGAGUACGACCGCAAGGUG